UUGCAAGACCUGCUAGUAAUCAAAGUAUCCAAGGUACACUGUUUUAUAAGAGGAGGCAGUAAAGCCUCAUAAACCUCAUUGCUGUGGAUUCAAAUCCUAUUCAGAGAGAUGGAUGACUGGUUGUACUUUUAUGUUUAUAUGCAGAGCUUUUUUGAAAAAAUAUGAUCUAAAUGAUCAAAAAUGGUAAAGACAAUAUUACAGAAACAAAUGUUAAACUAUUAACGAUAGGUACAAAGCAAGCUAUGACAGGUGAAGUAAGUAAAGUAAGUUAGGGAUGAAAAAGCACUGAGUUGACUACAGACAUUUACUGUGGAUUUGGCACUGGAAGGACAGUUCGUAAAGUAAAUACACAUCACACUACAUUAUGUAGAUGAAUACUCUGGAUAAAGUAAACUAUAAAUAAAAGUAUGUAAGUAUUAUGAGCAAAACUUGCUUAAGUGAAUAUGAAGAACUUUCAGCUUUUGUGGAUUCUAGCCGCUCCUUUUGACAAAAGCAGUACGAUCAUUACUAGCAAGUGCCGGUGGUGCUACAUUUGUGAUCGCAAUGAGGUCAUUUAUAAUCAUCAGAGGAAUCACAAGAUUGUUUCAUUAGAAGUUCCUCGUAGUCACAAGGGGCACUUUGGCAGCAAAAGACCCCAGGAGGACUUAAACAAGGGACGUUUUCAUGGUCAGUGUUUAUAG